UUCAGCAGCCAUAACACCUGAGGUUCAGACUAUGUAAUCCAGCUGAAGUUAAGCAGGUUUGGGCCUGGCCAGUACUUGGAUGGGAGACCAACUAAAAAAGCUGGGCUGCUGCUGAAG
rnacentral:rRNA from 1 species